rnacentral:rRNA from 1 species
ACUAAAUAGAUACCCUGGUAGUCCAGCCGUAAACGAUGCUCGCUAGGUGUCAGGCAUGGCGCGACCGUGUCUGGUGCCGCAGGGAAGCCGUGAAGCGAGCCACCUGGGAAGUACGGCCGCAAGGCUGAAACUUAAAGGAAUUGGCGGGGGAGCACAACAACGGGUGGAGCCUGCGGUUUAAUUGGACUCAACGCCGGACAACUCAUCGGGGGGCGACAGCAAUAUGUAGGCCAAGCUGAAGACUUUGCCUGAAUCGCUGAGAGGAGGUGCAUGGCCGUCGCCAGUUCGUACUGUGAAGCAUCCUGUUAAGUCAGGCAACGAGCGAGACCCGUGCCCACUGUUACCAGCAUGUCCUCCGGGACGAUGGGUACUCUGUGGGGACCGCCUAUGUUAAAUAGGAGGAAGGUGCGGGCCACGGUAGGUCAGUAUG